ensembl:lncRNA
UUGCACCCAAAGAAGCCGUGCCAUGUGGCCAUAGAGCUUGCGCUGACUCAGCCAGCUCAGUUAUUCAGUUACUCUCUGUCUUAACCAGCCUUGUCAUCAACUGCACAGCCAAAAUCAGGUAAUAAUCAGCCACCACAACCUGAAGGCAGAUAAUGAAUCAUCAAUUUCCAGUUUAGAUCUUCAGGUAGAAAAUUCUCUCAGCACAUAUUAAGUGGAGAACGUGGCUGGUGCUAGGGUCUAUCCAGGAUGAUGAGCUGUGGCACCUCUGUUGUUUCUGGAGGAACGAGUGCAUACAAAGGGCCAAGAGCUCUCCAUGAGCCUCUGGGCUAUUAGCAAAGGUGAAAUCUUGUGAGAAGAUGUACUUCUUGCACAGACUUACCAUGAGCCGCUGGUGGGCGCGGGCAAUAUCUCUGACCUGUCGAACGUGGUGGUCCCCCUCAUCUGAAUAGACAAGAGCAGAGGAGACAGGAGUGAGUGUUGAGAGCAUGGAUGUCAGACGCCUGCUAGGAGAGCAUGACCCUUUCCAGAUCGUGAUCCUGUUGUUGUGGCUACUCCUCACUCCAGAGGGAUGUUCUCUCUGGGUACUGGGGCCACUGGCAGCAUGGGGGAAUAACCAUGGGGCAGAUGCUUCCUCGAUGAGAAGGGUUUGAGCACCAAAAGGUGAUAGCAAUACCAGGAAAGUAGUCGCUAAAUUACAGUAGGAGUCAGUAAGGGACAGAGGCAGAAGCGGGAUGAGAGGGGGAAGAAAUGUUAGAGUGGCCACAGGAAAACUGGCUCUGGUGUCUGGAACAGAAAGAGGAGCUCAGAGGGGAAUUUGAAGAUACUGCUGGAAGAAAGGAUGCUUCAGAGUGAAUGAAUGCAGUUCUCUUACAAGGACAUCUUGUGUACGUCCACAGAUGAAUCUGUCCCUUCUGUGAUCCCAGGGGCUCUGGGGUUCAGACUAGUGGGCUCACAGAGGGGCUGAAGAACUUGAUGCUAUGUAGAGGAUGAGGCGGGCUACUAUCAGAGGACUCUGGGUAACUCUUGUCCCAGCAAGACAGUGCAAAUUGUGUUGGCAUUGUCCACACGCAGAGCAAUGUUGAGUCCAUCCUCCACGACACAGGGCUGGAGUUGGGCUGGGUUGGGGCGUAGAGCUGCAUAGCAUCCGACCAAACAUGACCUUGUUUGCCUCUCUCUAUUACACAGGAAUACUUACCAGGCUGGACGGGCUCAGGGUGAAUAUUCAUAAUUUCAUCCAUCGUUCCAUUUAAGAGAUGCAAGUUUUUUAUGUCAAAGACAAGAGGUGCUGCCAGGGCCAGCAGGGAGGUGAGAAUCAGGAGGCAAAGGCACUGGGUAGCUGAAAUAAGAAGAGAUUGGGGGCGGGGAGGCAAAGGAGAAAAAGCACAUAACUCUUCAGUUAAUUCUAUUUGACUCUUGCAGUGUAAAAUAGGAAAUAAAAUUCUUUCUUAGUGAAGCUCCCUCUUGGAGCUGAAAGUCCUGUUUCACCCAUCUAGAGGAGCUACCAGAUAUUAAUUGACAAACACCAAAUACUUGUGGAGUCAUCAGCAGGUGCAGCUGGUACCAGUGAUCUUUCUUUUUGAGACAGAAAAAGUGUGAAAACCUCAUCCAAACCCAAAAAUCUUGUGAAAACCAAGUCCUGGGGCUGGAAGAUGAGCAGGGAGGGGGGAUCCUCUUUCCUCUCAGCUCCUAUCGCCCCUGGCAGAUGACAAAUGUGACCCCUUCCUUUAGCCGAGCCACAGCUCCCGUGUUCUGCCCCGGGCUGCUGAGUUCAGCAGAGUUCCUUGAGGUGGUGAGAAGGAAGAUGUUCAAGGCAGAGCUGGUUGGAACUGGGUGUUCCAUCCUGGAGGUGAGCAUCCCUUCCUGGAAUGCUGGAGCUGUCCCAGCCACUGUGCUGCGUUCUGCAGCAGAGCUCUUCUAACCACCCUCCAAACAAUUCACUUCUCAACUGCUGCAUACUGUUUGGUGAUUUGUGUUUAGAGAUGUGUUUAAAGACAUCUUGCCUUAGGGCAACGCUCCUCCUGCUGCUGGUCCUCACCCCAUGAAGGGCCAUGGAAUUCCAGCAGGAUGGAGAUGCAGGGGAGGAAACAGCCACUGCUGGGUGUGCUGUGGACAACUGUGUGCAUCAGUAGUGUUCCUUAGAGAAGAAUAUCUAAAAAAAAAAAAAAUAAUCCAUGUCCUGCGCUAAGGUAUUUCAUAUUUUCUCUGCAGAACAGACCAUUACAAGGAAUAUUUGGCCAACUGUUGGCCUGUACAGUGGGCUGCCUAGCGCUCCGCCUGCACACAGCAUGCACAGAGCAAAGCGUGCAGCCCCUGCUCCAGCUCCCACCCAGGGGAGCAGGGGCAUGGCAGGUGUUGUGCUGGGACAGCUGAGGGAGCAGGGAGCCCUGCGCAGACCUGUGCCCGAGGACCCCCCCGCCCAGCCCACACUCACCCAUACUGUCUCCGAGGGGACCCUGCGGGGUGGAAGCCAGGCGGAUGUGGCCUGUGGGAGGGGUGUGCAGCCUGAAAGUUAUAGGGCUCUGUGGGUGAGGGGUGGGAGCACAAGACCCAAACCGCAGCACUUGUCCCCUGUUCGGCGACAGCGCUAGUGCUUUGUGCUGUGUUUGCUCUUCGUAGUGAAGUGACAUGUCCUCAGGUAAAGAAGGCUGUGUCUCACGAAGGUGAAGAGCUUCCUUCAGAAGCAAAGCAAAUAGCAAGUUGCCAAUGAGACAGUGCCUUGGAACAGCUCCGACGUACACAGCCUGGCUGCCCCCGUCCCCCACCUCCCCCCACUGCUCUCGCAGGGUUUCCCCAGGGAAUCGUGUCCUCUGAGCACCUUCCAGCAUUUCAGCACGGCUGCAGGCUGGGACACACCAGCUCCGUGGGAACCUCAUCCUCCUGCCCAUGGCAGUGGUGAUGCUUCUCCACUGUGCGAGUGCAGGUCCAGGAAUGCCCACCGCCAGCUCGCGGAGCGUUCCUGUUGCAGGGUCCCCGCGGACUGCAGCCACCUCCCGCAAGACCAGCCCCAGCGGGGUGUACGUCAUCCAGCCGGCACGGUCCCCCCCGCGUGGUGUGGUGUGACAUGGACACCUGAAGGCAAGGGCUGGACUGUUGUCCAGAGAAACUCUCAUGACACGAAGAAUCGCGUGGAAGCAAUCCUGGACCACCUACCAAGUACGGCUUCGGGAACGUGCAGGGCGACCACUGGCUGGGCACCGAGUACCUGCACCUGCUCACACAGCAGGGCACCCUACAAGGUCCGCUCGUCGUGCGGGACAAAGCCAACGUCACCCACUACGCUGAGUACGACAUCUUCAGAGUGGGAGAGCGAGAGCAGCGGGUACCCGCUGAGGCUGGGCCGGUAUUCUGGUGAAGGGGACGACUAUCUGACCGGCUACUACCCCAAGAAGGAGGCCAUCCACGACACAUGAAGUUCAGCACGGUGGAUAAGGAUCAGGACCAGACAGCGGGAACUGCGCCAGCAGCUACGGGGGGUGGUGGUACGACAGGUGCCAGAAUGUUGUGCUCAAUGCCAAAAAGUACAUCCUCUGGCCAGGAUUCCUGUGAUAAAGGCGACUGCGCAUCAUCCCUCAUCCUGGUCAAACCCACUGAUGUGUGCUGACUGUGCCAGAGGUUGGGGAAGUGCCACUGUCCACAGCCGGUCCCCAUCCCUUUGCCUACCAGCCCUGUGCCAGCCCUCUGGGCACCCCAUGGCACCUGCAGCUCCCACCACAGACACCAGCUCCAACACUGUGGCUCUGGCACUCGGGAGCGGUCUCCUGGAGCCCCGGGCACAUGGGCAGCUUUGCCCAGUGCUGCUGUGUUGGCUGGCACCGGGACGCAGGCACUGCUUUGGGGUGGGUGAAGGGGAGAAGUACAAGUUCCCUUCUCCGUGCAAUCAGCAUCUCCCCGCUUCGCUCCUCAGUCCAUAAUUGCUACCCACACUGUGAGAAAUCAGCUAUAAUAAACCCCAGAGCCAGACUUUGCUGCCUCCUGUCUUCUUGCUGUAUCAAUAAUGUGAAUAAAUGGAGGAAGGACCACUCUGUCC